ACGCACGCUGGCGGCGUGCUUAACACAUGCAAGUCGCACGGAAAGGCCCUGCUUGCAGGGUACUCGAGUGGCGAACGGGUGAGUAACACGUGGGUGAUCUGCCCUGCACUUCGGGAUAAGCCUGGGAAACUGGGUCUAAUACCGGAUAGGAGCCAUUUUUAGUGUGAUGGUUGGAAAGUUUUUUCGGUGUAGGAUGAGCUCGCGGCCUAUCAGCUUGUUGGUGGGGUAAUGGCCUACCAAGGCGGCGACGGGUAGCCGGCCUGAGAGGGUGGACGGCCACAUUGGGACUGAGAUACGGCCCAGACUCCUACGGGAGGCAGCAGUGGGGAAUAUUGCACAAUGGGCGCAAGCCUGAUGCAGCGACGCCGCGUGGGGGAUGACGGCCUUCGGGUUGUAAACUCCUUUCGCUAGGGACGAAGCUUUUGUGACGGUACCUAGAUAAGAAGCACCGGCUAACUACGUG
rnacentral:rRNA from 1 species